rnacentral:rRNA from 1 species
UGGUAUGUACUAGCCUGCCGAUUCCUCCUUCUUGUAGAACCGUAAUGCCAUUAAUUUGGUGUUGCGGGGAAACAGGACUGUUACUUUGAAAAAAUUAGAGUGUUUAAAGCAGGCUAGCGCCUGAAUACAUUAGCAUGGAAUAAUGAAAUAGGACGUUCGAACCUAUUUUGUUGGUUUCUAGGAUCGACGUAAUGAUUAAUAGGGAUAGUUGGGGGCAUUAGUAUUCAAUUGUCAGAGGUGAAAUUCUUGGAUUUAUUGAAGACUAACUACUGCGAAAGCAUUUGCCAAGGAUGUUUUCAUUAAUCAAGAACGAAAGUUAGGGGAUCGAAGACGAUCAGAUACCGUCGUAGUCUUAACCAUAAACUAUGCCGACUAGGGAUCGGAUGAUGUUAAUUCUUUAAUGACUCAUUCG